UACGUAGGGGGCUAGCGUUGUCCGGAAUCAUUGGGCGUAAAGAGCGCGUAGGCGGCCAGAUAAGUCCGCUGUGAAAGUCGAGGGCUCAACCCUCGAAUGCCGGUGGAUACUGUCGGGCUUGAGUACGGGAGAGGCGAGUGGAAUUCCUGGUGUAGCGGUGAAAUGCGCAGAUAUCAGGAGGAACACCGAUUGCGAAGGCAGCUCGCUGGAACGUUACUGACGCUGAGACGCGAAAGCGUGGGGAGCAAACAGG
rnacentral:rRNA from 1 species